AUUGAACGCUGGCGGCAGGCCUAACACAUGCAAGUCGGGCGGAUGAAGGGAGCUUGCUCCUGGAUUCAUCGGCGGACGGGUGAGUAAUGCCUAGGAAUCUGCCUGGUAGUGGGGGAUAACGUCCGGAAACGGGCGCUAAUACCGCAUACGUCCUGAGGGAGAAAGUGGGGGAUCUUCGGACCUCACGCUAUCAGAUGAGCCUAGGUCGGAUUAGCUAGUUGGUGGGGUAAAGGCCUACCAAGGCGACGAUCCGUAACUGGUCUGAGAGGAUGAUCAGUCACACUGGAACUGAGACACGGUACAGACUCCUACGGGAGGCAGCAGUGGGGAAUAUUGGACAAUGGGCGAAAGCGUGAUCCAGCCAUGCCGCGUGUGUGAAGAAGGUCUUCGGAUUGUAAAGCACUUUAAGUUGGGAGGAAGGGAAGUAAGUUAAUACCUUGCUGUUUUGACGUUACCAACAGAAUAAGCACCGGCUAACUUCGUG
rnacentral:rRNA from 1 species